CGCCGAACUCUCCGAGGUGGGGUGGGGGUGAGAGGCUGAGCUCGUCUUGGGUGAGAGAAGCGCAGCGCCGGGCUCCCCUGACCUGCUUCACCCUCCCGGCUGGCUCUUUAAGUCCAAGAGUUUGGAUUUCCUGAGAUUGUUGACUGAGUGUAAGCGAAGGGGCCCCCUCUCCCCAGUCUGGCGAGAGGCAGCAGGAGGAGUGGGAUGGGGUGAAGCGAGGUGGGGGCGGUUGGAGAGAGACUAAAGCGAUGUACUCGAGACAGGAAAAGUGGGAGGAGGAGGGGGAGGAAAAGGGGGAGGAGGGGGAGGAGAAGGGGGAGGAGGCAGCCAUAAGUUGAGAGGGGAGGGAAACGCGUCGCCAGCCGGGCGCUGGGAGCUCCGCGCGCUCAGCGUUCGCAGAGUCGCGCCAGAGAAGAUCCGAGGCUGGGAGCGACCGGUGGAGAGCAGCACGCUUCCCAGUGACUUCCUCUCGUGGUGCUCUGGGGCAGCCUCUUGGCUCUGGCCCCAAGCAGGAACCGUGAGGACAGCCUAGCAGGAUCUGAGAGGGGCAGAGUUUCGGAGAUGGAAAAUGAAUCAGAGGAAGCUCCUUGCUGAUUUCGAUUAAACCUUGUUCUGAGACCUUCCCACUUCGCUGUCCAUACUUCGCCAUCUGUAUAAGGAUCCCGAGCACUCUAUGAAGAUCACUGUUUACUUUUUGGAGCCCCAACUCAGACAAUAAAAUCCGUCGGGGCGAAGGCUGCUCUGUCCCCGCGGUACCCACAGAACUUGGAGCUCAGCAGAUCGUAAAAUAAAUGCUGCCUGCUCGGGACAGAGCAGCUCAAUUCUACACCCUGGCGGCCAGCUCCGAGAUGUGGCGUAGGGGUGCGGCCGGCCAGGCAGGCAGCCAGCAGAACUCCUGACCCAGGACGGGCUCCGCAAGUGCCCGGCGCCCACUCGGACCCACGCGGCGCGAGAGGCCCGGACUUCAGGCCAGGAGGCCCCGGGGGCGGG
rnacentral:lncRNA from 1 species